rnacentral:rRNA from 1 species
AUUGAACGCUGGCGGCAUGCCUUACACAUGCAAGUCGAACGGCAGCACGGGGGCAACCCUGGUGGCGAGUGGCGAACGGGUGAGUAAUACAUCGGAACGUGCCCGGUAGUGGGGGAUAGCUCGGCGAAAGCCGGAUUAAUACCGCAUACGACCUACGGGUGAAAGCGGGGACCGUAAGGCCUCGCGCUAUUGGAGCGGCCGAUGUCAGAUUAGGUUGUUGGUGGGGUAAAGGCCCACCAAGCCGACGAUCUGUAGCUGGUCUGAGAGGACGACCAGCCACACUGGGACUGAGACACGGCCCAGACUCCUACGGGAGGCAGCAGUGGGGAAUUUUGGACAAUGGGCGAAAGCCUGAUCCAGCCAUGCCGCGUGCGGGAAGAAGGCCU